rnacentral:rRNA from 1 species
AAAUGAAUUGACGGGGGCCCGCACAAGCGGCGGAGCAUGCGGAUUAAUUCGAUGCAACGCGAAGAACCUUACCUAGGUUUGACAUAUACCGGAAAGCUCUAGAGAUAGAGCCCCUUUUGUCGGUAUACAGGUGGUGCAUGGCUGUCGUCAGCUCGUGUCGUGAGAUGUUGGGUUAAGUCCCGCAACGAGCGCAACCCUCGUCUUAUGUUGCCAGCACGUAAUGGUGGGGACUCAUAAGAGACUGCCGGGGUCAACUCGGAGGAAGGUGGGGAUGACGUCAAGUCAUCAUGCCCCUUAUGCCUAGGGCUUCACGCAUGCUACAAUGGCCGGUACAAAGGGCUGCGAUAUCGCAAGAUGGAGCGAAUCCCAAAAAGCCGGUCUCAGUUCGGAUUGGGGUCUGCAACUCGACCCCAUGAAGUCGGAGUCGCUAGUAAUCGCAGAUCAGCAACGCUGCGGUGAAUACGUUCCCGGGCCUUGUACACACCGCCCGU